rnacentral:rRNA from 1 species
UACGUAGGGUGCGAGCGUUGUCCGGAAUUAUUGGGCGUAAAGAGCUCGUAGGCGGUUUGCUGCGUCGGCUGUGAAAACCUGGGGCUUAACUCUGGGCCUGCAGUCGAUACGGGCAGGCUUGAGUUCGGUAGGGGAGACUGGAAUUCCUGGUGUAGCGGUGAAAUGCGCAGAUAUCAGGAGGAACACCGGUGGCGAAGGCGGGGCUCUGGGCCGACACUGACACUGAGGUGCGAAAGCUAGGGGAGCAAACGGG